AAAGCGGAAGACUGCCAGACAUGUUUUUUCGCAUACAGUUACGUGUCUUAUAACUUUUAUGUUGUUUUUUUUUUUUUCAUUUUUCAGUGGAUCUGAUUUUAAUAUAAAAUGAGUUUUGGGAGGACUCCAGCUAAGUCAGAGGUCACUGGCUGGGAUGCAUUUACUCAAAGGAAUAUGUCAAAUAAUGAACUUCAGAAAUUUCCUAAGGCAGCAUCAUCAUCACACAAGUAUCAGGCACAAGGCCAAAGACAGCAGUGCUUCAGUUCUCAAGAAUCUGCUGACAGUGAUCAUGACUAUGAGAGUCCAGGGUCAGGCAAUGAAGGCCCUGUAGAGGACGAUUAUGUGUGCCCUGUAGGAGAGGGACCCAGCGAGAGCGUGAACAGUGACAAUGAAUAUGAAGUACCGCCAUCCAUCGAAAUGCUUUCUCCAUUCCAUCUUAAAAGCCUCAAGAAAACCGUGACUACAUAG
rnacentral:lncRNA from 1 species